CUUAAAUCGGGAGAUGGCAUUCCUCCUUUAAACCGCUUCUUAUCUCACCGAUCAGAGCUGAUGAUGCCUACCAUGAG
rnacentral:ncRNA from 2 species